rnacentral:rRNA from 1 species
GUCUACGGCCAUGCCACCCUGAACAAGCCCGAUCCCAUCUGAUGUCAGAAGCUAAGCAGGGUCGGGCCUGGUUAGUACUUGGAUGAGAGACCACCUAGGAAGACCAGGUGCUGCAGGAG